GUAGUCAUAUGCUUGUCUCAAGGAUUAAGCCAUGCAUGUCUAAGUAUAAGCAACUUGUACUGUGAAACUGCGAAUGGCUCAUUAAAUCAGUUAUGAUCUACGUGACAUAUUCUUUACUACUUGGAUAACCGUGGUAAUUCUAGAGCUAAUACAUGCAAAAAAACCCUGACUUACGAAAGGGUACACUUAUUAGAUAAAGCCAACGCUGGGUAAAACCAGUUUCCCUUGGUGAUUCAUAAUAAUUUAGCGGAUCGCAUGGCCUUGUGCUAGCGACAGUCCACUCGAUUUUCUGCCCUAUCAUGGUUGAGAUUGUAAGAUAGAGGCUUACAAUGCCUACAACGGGUAACGGGGAAU
rnacentral:rRNA from 1 species